AUGUCCGACAGGCGACAAUGCUUCUGGUGACCACAUCGUGUUCAAUCUGCAGCAGAGGAGCCUCUCUUCCUUUUCGUUCCACCAAAAGUGAUCAGAGCAAGUGUCCCUAAGCUGCUUCUUGAUGAUGUCUUUGAGCAGAAGAAUGAAAUUGCCAAAGCUGUUGAAGAGGAGCUCGAGAAGGAAAUGUCUGCUUACGGUUUUGAGAUUGUGCAAACUCUCAUCGUUGACAUUGAGCCUGAUGAACAUGGCAAACGAGCCAUGAAUGAGAUCAACGCUGGUAACAAUACCGUCUCAUCAUUUCCUUUAUAGACUGGUUUUCAUAUUAGUAACAAAAAUGGUUUCUUUUCUCUUCUUUAUUCUGUCAAUUUAAUUUCUAUUUUCUAGACAAAUUAGAUAAGAUAAGCAAAGUCCACAACGAAGCUAUAUGUUUCUUUCACGUGUAGUCAUUGGCAUUGCUGAGGUGAUGAUUAAGAUAUUUUGUUUCAUUACCUAUGGGUGUUGAUAUAUCGUAGGAAACUUCAUUCACCAUGAUCACGCUAUUAGCGCCAUUUCCUUUUAAUGGCAACUAGACAUUGACAUUAGUCAUAGGAUUUGAACGGGCUUAUAUAUAGGAUCAAUAAUACAUCUCAGAAAGACAAAAGUUUUAUUUCACAUGAUGUGAAAUGAUUCUGAAACGAUUAUAGACAAGUAUGUCUUGUUCAUGAGCUAUGCAUCUAGAUUGAACUGAUAUGUUUGUACCCAUGAUGCAAAGGUGAAGAAUCUGCGUGACAAGCUGAGUAUUCUGUAUGAGCAAGACAGACGAAGAAGUAGACAAUGUAAUAUCCGAUAUUCCGCGGGACGGCCCGCGAAAGCCUGCAAAGAAUACGGUGCGGGAUUGGACAUCUAUUUUUAGGACCGCAUCCCGCGUGGGACAGGCCCGCCGUGUCCCGCCCGAAGACAAACCCGCAGCGGUCCGGUCCGGGACGGGACGGGAGAGCCCAUUUGACAUCUCUAAUUCCUAGGGACUAGAUAUGAUCAGUUUUGGUUAUUAUUUUAUUUUUAGAUUAAUUGGCAAGGUCGUCUCUCCCUCGAUUCAUCCCCGGUGUCCAGGUUAGAGAUGGAUGAUAUGUCAGGUCGAAUUCUGUUUCCUUUGUCCUCGGUGGGCGGUAGGGUUAAGCUGAAGGGAAAGCUUGGAUUAGUUAUCUCAGAGUAUGAUAGUUUUUGGGAACCCUCGAUCGACAUGCAAAUUCAAGAACCGAUAGCUUAUUCUAUCGAGAUGCUUUCCAAGGUGGAACCUUCUUCACUGAUAAGAGAAGAAGAAGAUAUGAGGGAAUUGAAGGAGAACUAUUUAUUGCCUACAUUACAUAUGUAAGAUGACUCAAUGAUGGAUUACAUAUCGAUAAGCAGCUUGACAAAUAAAUACUUAUAUGCCAGUGUUCAUAAAUUUGUUUUCUUAAUUAUUUACAUACUUUCGAUCAUUGG